GACGAACGCUGGCGGCGUGCUUAACACAUGCAAGUCGAACGGAAAGGCCCUGCUUUUGUGGGGUGCUCGAGUGGCGAACGGGUGAGUAACACGUGAGUAACCUGCCCUUUACUUUGGGAUAACUUCAGGAAACUGGGGCUAAUACCGGAUAGGAGCUCCUGCUGCAUGGUGGGGGUUGGAAAGUUUCGGCGGUUGGGGCUGGACUCGCGGCUUAUCAGCUUGUUGGUGGGGUAGUGGCUUACCAAGGCUUUGACGGGUAGCCGGCCUGAGAGGGUGACCGGCCACAUUGGGACUGAGAUACGGCCCAGACUCCUACGGGAGGCAGCAGUGGGGAAUAUUGCACAAUGGGCGGAAGCCUGAUGCAGCAACGCCGCGUGCGGGAUGACGGCCUUCGGGUUGUAAACCGCUUUCGCCUGUGACGAAGCGUGAGUGACGGUAAUGGGUAAAGAAGCACCGGCUAACUACGUG
rnacentral:rRNA from 1 species